rnacentral:rRNA from 1 species
GAUGAACGCUGGCGGCGUGCCUAAUACAUGCAAGUCGAGCGAACGGACGAGAAGCUUGCUUCUCUGAUGUUAGCGGCGGACGGGUGAGUAACACGUGGAUAACCUACCUAUAAGACUGGGAUAACUUCGGGAAACCGGAGCUAAUACCGGAUAAUAUUUUGAACCGCAUGGUUCACUAGUGAAAGACGGUCUUGCUGUCACUUAUACAUGGAUCCGCGCUGCAUUAGCUAGUUGGUAAGGUAACGGCUUACCAAGGCAACGAUGCAUAGCCGACCUGAGAGGGUGAUCGGCCACACUGGAACUGAGACACGGUCCAGACUCCUACGGGAGGCAGCAGUAGGGAAUCUUCCGCAAUGGGCGAAAGCCUGACGGAGCAACGCCGCGUGAGUGAUGAAGGUCUUCGGAUCGUAAAACUCUGUUAUUAGGGAAGAACAUAUGUGUAAGUAACUGUGCACAUCUUGACGGUACCUAAUCAGAAAGCCACGGCUAACUACGUG